rnacentral:rRNA from 1 species
GUAGGUGGCAAGCGUUGUCCGGAAUUAUUGGGCGUAAAGCGCGCGCAGGCGGUUCUUUAAGUCUGAUGUGAAAGCCCACGGCUCAACCGUGGGGGGUCAUUGGAAACUGGAGAACUUGAGUACAGAAGAGGAAAGCGGAAUUCCACGUGUAGCGGUGAAAUGCGUAGAGAUGUGGAGAAACACCAGUGGCGAAGGCGGCUCUCUGGUCUGUAACUGACGCUGAGGCGCGAAAGCGUGGGGAGCAAACAGGGAUUAGAUACCCUGGUAGUCCACGCCGUAAACGAUGAGUGCUAAGUGUUAGGGGGGUUUCCGCCCCCUUAGUGCUGCAGCUAACGCAUUAAGCACUCCGCCUGGGGAUACGGCCGCAAGGCUG